rnacentral:rRNA from 1 species
CCUACGGGUGGCAGCAGUGGGGAAUAUUGGACAAUGGGCGAAAGCCUGAUCCAGCCAUGCCGCGUGUGUGAAGAAGGCCUUCGGGUUGUAAAGCACUUUCAGUGGGGAAGAAAGCCUUGGGGCUAAUACCCUCGAGGAAGGACAUCACCCACAGAAGAAGCACCGGCUAACUCCGUGCCAGCAGCCGCGGUAAUACGGAGGGUGCGAGCGUUAAUCGGAAUUACUGGGCGUAAAGCGCGCGUAGGCGGUCUGAUAAGCCGGUUGUGAAAGCCCCGGGCUCAACCUGGGAACGGCAUCCGGAACUGUCAGGCUAGAGUGCAGGAGAGGAAGGUAGAAUUCCCGGUGUAGCGGUGAAAUGCGUAGAGAUCGGGAGGAAUACCAGUGGCGAAGGCGGCCUUCUGGACUGACACUGACGCUGAGGUGCGAAAGCGUGGGUAGCAAACAGGAUUAGAUACCCCAAUAGUC